GACGAACGCUGGCGGCGUGCUUAACACAUGCAAGUCGAACGGAAAGGCCCUGCUUUUGUGGGGUGCUCGAGUGGCGAACGGGUGAGUAACACGUGAGUAACCUGCCCUUGACUUUGGGAUAACUUCAGGAAACUGGGGCUAAUACCGGAUAGGAGCUCCUGCUGCAUGGUGGGGGUUGGAAAGUUUCGGCGGUUGGGGAUGGACUCGCGGCUUAUCGGCUUGUUGGUGGGGUAGUGGCGUACCAAGGCUUUGACGGGUAGCCGGCCUGAGAGGGUGACCGGCCACAUUGGGACUGAGAUACGGCCCAGACUCCUACGGGGGGCAGCAGUGGGGAAUACUGCACAAUGGGCGGAAGCCUGAUGCAGCAACGCCGCGUGCGGGAUGACGGCCUUCGGGUUAUAAACCGAUUUCGCCUGUGACGAAGCGUGAGUGACGGUAAUGGGUAAAGAAGCACCGGCUAACUACGUG
rnacentral:rRNA from 1 species